rnacentral:sRNA from 1 species
UCAGAGUUUUUCAGGGCCGAACAUCGGCUA